CCUACGGGUGACAGCAGUGAGGAAUAUUGGUCAAUGUACGCAAGUCUGAACCAGCCAUGCAGCGUGCAGGAAGACGGCUCUAUGAGUUGUAAACUGCUUUUGUACGAGGGUAAACGCAGAUACGCGUGUCUUUCUGAAAGUAUCGUACGAAUGAGGAUCGGCUAACUCCGUGCCAGCAGCCGCGGUAAUACGGAGGAUUCAAGCGUUAUCCGGAUUUAUUGGGUUUAAAGGGUGCGUAGGCGGUCGGAUAAGUUAGAGGUGAAAUCCCGAGGCUCAACUUCGGAAUUGCCUCUGAUACUGUUCGGCUAGAGAGGAGUUGCGGUAGGCGGAAUGUAUGGUGUAGCGGUGAAAUGCUUAGAGAUCAUACAGAACACCGAUUGCGAAGGCAGCUUACCAAGCUACUUCUGACGUUGAGGCACGAAAGCGUGGGGAGCAAACAGGAUUAGAUACCCAGUAGUC
rnacentral:rRNA from 1 species